GCCGAUGUAGCUCAGCUGGUAGAGCAACGGUUUCGUAAACCGUAGGUCGUGGGUUCGAAUCCCGUCAUCGGCU
rnacentral:tRNA from 1 species